UACAGAGGGGGCAAGCGUUGUCCGGAUUCAUUGGGCGUAAAGAGCUCGUAGGCGGCUUGGCAAGUCGGGUGUGAAACCUCCAGGCUCAACCUGGAGACGCCACCCGAUACUGCCAUGGCUAGAGUCCGGUAGGGGACCACGGAAUUCCUGGUGUGAGCGGUGGAAAUGCGCAGAUAUCAGGAGGAACACCGGUGGCGAAGGCGGUGGUCUGGGCCGGAACUGACGCUGAGGAGCGAAAGCGUGGGGAGCGAACAGG
rnacentral:rRNA from 1 species